GGUUUUUUUCCAGGCAAGGUGUCUCUGAACCUGGAAUUCAAAUGUCUUGGUGAGGCUGGAAGCCAGCAAGCUUUAGUGAACCUAUUCCACUGAGGUCAGUGCUAGGAUCACAGGCACACACUUGGUGUCUGACUUUUUACAUGUAUGCUGGAAUGAAAACUCCUAUGCUCAUGAUUGUACAACAAGCACUGAGCAAUUUUCAAUCAUGGUUUUGUUUGUUUUUAUGAGAUUUUUUUCAUAAUGUCUUUAUUGAUCAUUUUCACAUCAUGCACCCUUAGUUAGGAGUUUACUGCUGUGAACAGACACCAUGACUAAGGCAACUCUCACAAUGACAACAUUCAAUUGGGGCUGGCUUAUAGGUUCAGAGGGUCUUAACGCCCAGGUCAACAGUGACACACUACUCCAACAAGGCCACUUGUCCUAUAGUGUCACUCCGUGGGCCAAACAUAUACAAACCAUCACACACUCAUCACACUCACUUCCCAGUCCUCCCAUAUCUGUCCCAACUCUUUUGACCCCACACACACACAAAAAAAAAAAAAAAAGAAAAAGAAAAGAGAAAAAAAAAACCCACACAAUGUUAGUCCAAUUUGUGUUAUCUAAUAUACUCAUUGGAGCAUGGUCAAAUUCCCAGU
rnacentral:lncRNA from 1 species